CCUANGGGAGGCUGCAGUGGGGAAUAUUGCGCAAUGGGGGAAACCCUGACGCAGCGACGCCGCGUGGGCGAUGAAGGCCUUCGGGUCGUAAAGCCCUGUCGAGCGGGACGAAAUGUGCGAGUCCUAAUAGGGCUCGUGCUUGACGGUACCGCUGGAGGAAGCCCCGGCUAACUCCGUGCCAGCAGCCGCGGUAAUACGGAGGGGGCUAGCGUUAUUCGGAAUUAUUGGGCGUAAAGGGCGUGUAGGCGGCUUCGUGUGUCCCGUGUGAAAGCCCUCGGCUUAACCGAGGAACAGCAUGGGAAACUGCGGAGCUUGAGUCCGGGAGAGGAGAGCGGAAUUCCCAGUGUAGCGGUGAAAUGCGUAGAUAUUGGGAGGAACACCAGUGGCGAAGGCGGCUCUCUGGACCGGUACUGACGCUGAGACGCGAAAGCCAGGGGAGCAAACGGGAUUAGAUACCCCUNUANUC
rnacentral:rRNA from 1 species